rnacentral:rRNA from 1 species
CAAGGGAAGAGGAGCGUUGGUCUUAUCUCCUCUCUCUCUCUCUCUCUCUCUCUAGGUACCUCUAAGAGGGGACAGGGAGCUAAGCGAUCCCACGGGGCCGCAGGUCGCGAGAGGGAGGCCGGCGGGUUGGGGGAGGACGAAGAGGCUACAGGCACGGUCUUCCCGUCGUAUAGAGCCGGCGGUAUGGGUUGGGGCCGGAGGUAAAGGGGGCGGCCGUAAAUACCAGGACACUAAACCCACAAAAUACCUAUCAACGUACUAUUACAGGCCCUUAUCAAAUUAGAUACCCAUCUGAGCCCUUCACAAAAGCAUUCCCAUAAGUAAGACGAACAAGGCUUCUCGUUCCACUAAGUCUACCACUAGGAAAACACGGGUUACUAAAACGACUCCUGCUAAGAAAGGUUCAAAGGCUCCUACCACUUUACCUAUUGGGACUCACACUUUUUCGAAUAUACUAAAGAUACACAGGGUGUAAAGAAGUCCGUCCUCUCUCUGCUAUCCUCCACUACUUACGUGUCCUCCCCCCUCUCCCUACAAAACGAACACAAAAAGGAUGAAGAGGUCGGUACAACAACUGCAAACAGAGGGUCUAAAACCUCCUUAGCGGGAGAGACCACCGCGAAGUGGUACAAGCAGGAGGAUAUACACCAACAUGAACAUGGUCACGUAAAACAGUCACAUCAAUUGAAACAAAUCACCUAAAAUGUGACAUUUCGACUAUUUUAAUGUCACAUAAAUAAUCACCAAAAUGUCACAAAAAUAUUCGCCUAAACGUGACAUUAAGGAUAGACCUAAAUGUGACAUUAAGAAGAGAUCCAAAUGUCACAUUAAGACCGACCAAAAUGUCACAUCAAGAAACAGCUAUAACGUCGAAACUAUACUAAAUGUGACAUUUAGAAUCAAGUUAAAGUCACAUGAAAAUCCAAUAAAAUGUGACAUUAAGAAUCACCUAAUGUCACGUAACAUUUCACCUAAAAUGAG